rnacentral:rRNA from 1 species
CAAUAGCGUAUAUUAAAGUUGUUGCAGUUAAAAAGCUCGUAGUUGAAUUUCUGGGCGGCCCGCCGGUCUUCCAUGUGUUGUACUGGGCGGCGCCGGCCAUCCUUGUGGAGAGGGCUCGCAUUUGGUUGCGUGUCGGAUCUGCAUCAUUUACUGUGAAAAAAUUAGAGUGUUUAAAGCAGGCUGUCGCUUGAAUACAUUAGCAUGGAAUAAUAAGAUAGGACUUCGGUCUAUUUUGUUGGUUGCGAACCGAGGUAAUGAUUAAUAGGGAUAGUUGGGGGUAUUCAUAUUUAAUUGUCAGAGGUGAAAUUCUUGAAUUUAUGAAAGAUGAACAACUGCGAAAGCAUUUACCAAGGAUGUUUUCAUUAA